GACGAACGCUGGCGGCGUGCUUAACACAUGCAAGUCGAACGGAAAGGCCCCUUUCGGGGGGUACUCGCGUGGCGCACGGGUGAGUAACACGUGAGUAACCUGCCCUCGACUUUGGGAUAACUCUAGAAGAAACGGGCUAAAACCGCAUAGAAGAUCUUGUUGCACGGUGGGGGGUGGAGAGUUUCGGGGGUUGGGGGUGGGCUCGCGGGUUAUCUGCUUGUUGGUGGGGGAGUGGGUUACCAAGGGUUUGACGGGUAUCCGGGCUGGGAGGGUGACCCGCCACAAUGGGACUUGGGUACGGCCCAGACUCCUACGGGGGGGAAGAGGGGGGAAUAUUGGACAAAGGGUGGGAGGCUGAUGCAGGAACGCCGGGGGCGGGAAGACGGGCUUCGGGUUGGAAACCGCUUUCGGUCAUGACGAAGCUUUGUGUGACGGUAGUGGGUAAAGAAGCACCGGCUAACUACGUG
rnacentral:rRNA from 1 species